CAAACAAGGUCGAAAAUUUUUUAAAAAAAUUAAAAAUCAACGUAAUCCUGUGUAAAGAAGAUGCCAGGUAGAGGGAAACCCAAGUCUAGAAAGAGACAAAACACUGUCAGUGUGAUCGAAGCUGAAAGUUUGUCUUCAAUGGAGCAGGAGCCUGAAAGAUUGAACAUUUUAGGCAGCUCAACUCAGAGGGAUAUCUGGAUAGUGGGGGAUUCCCUUGUUAGAUGGGCAGGGCGUCAGUUUUCCCAAAGGCAAAGGCCGAGUUUCUGUAACAAUAUCGCAUGGGAUGGAACUAGUGGGUUGAAGCUAGAUGGUCUACAUGCCAAGUUGCAGUAUGGGCUAAUCCAAGGCAAGGACCCUAAAAUUAUUUUUGUACAUGUUGGGGGAAACAAUAUAACCAAUACCAAUCAAUGUAAAAUUGUAAGAAAACUUAAAACUGAAUUCGAAUAUUUAUUUUCUAAUUUCCCCAGAUCACUUAUUGUCUGGACUUUCAUACUACCUCGUUUAACCUGGUCAUGCAAUAAUCAAUCAGCUGUAUAUAAUCGUAACAUGAAUAAGAAACGUUUAUCCAUCAAUAGACAGAUGUCAAAUUUUACCCUUAAUCAUGCUAAUGGCAGGGCUCUUAACAUGAAAUCUAUAGAUACUCAAACUCAGGGUUUCUAUCAUACCGAUAAGGUCCAUCUAUCAAAUGUUGGAAAUGAAAUGUACAUUCUUGCUAUUGGUGAGGCAAUUACACAAUUUCUUAGUUCUUCUGGUACAACAUUCCUUGAACAUUAGGCCUGAAUUUUGGCGGACAAAUUGUCUUUCUGCGUCAAUUUGUUGUGGCGGAAAAUUCUAGGCUGCUGGGGAUUAGAUGGUGUCAUUAUUAAACUUGUCUCUAUCUGCACACAUAAUUCAUAAUUUAUUGUACACUUUAACUUUAUACAAAUAAGCAUUAUUAUAUUGCGUUGGCUACUUCCCUUCAUAUGGCACAAUGGGUACAUUGUUGAUGACCAAUGCGGGACAGAUGCUAAUGUUAUAUAUUUUGUUUCACAUUGCUGGGUCAGCUCGGAACAGGCGGGCUCAGCUGCAUUUAAGGAGAUGUAAUAAUAAAAUGGAGAUCUUAUUUUACUCUGAGCAGUAUCAGUAGAGCGGAGAUAUAUUAUCAGUAGAGCGGAGAUAUAUUAUCAGUAGAGCGGAGAU
rnacentral:misc_RNA from 1 species